rnacentral:rRNA from 1 species
AUUGAACGCUGGCGGCAGGCUUAACACAUGCAAGUCGAGCGGGCGAGGUUGCUUCGGUAACUGAGCUAGCGGCGGACGGGUGAGUAAUGCUUAGGAAUCUGCCUAUUAGUGGGGGACAACAUUCCGAAAGGAAUGCUAAUACCGCAUACGCCCUAAGGGGGAAAGCAGGGGAUCUUCGGACCUUGCGCUAAUAGAUGAGCCUAAGUCAGAUUAGCUAGUUGGUGGGGUAAAGGCCUACCAAGGCGACGAUCUGUAGCGGGUCUGAGAGGAUGAUCCGCCACACUGGGACUGAGACACGGCCCAGACUCCUACGGGAGGCAGCAGUGGGGAAUAUUGGACAAUGGGCGCAAGCCUGAUCCAGCCAUGCCGCGUGUGUGAAGAAGGCCUUUUGGUUGUAAAGCACUUUAAGCGAGGAGGAGGCUACUUGGAUUAAUACUCUAGGAUAGUGGACGUUACUCGCAGAAUAAGCACCGGCUAACUCUGUGCCAGCCGCCGCCGUAA